UUCAGGAAUUAUAUUUUUUAAUUGUGUGGCCUGAACUUUGGAUAAUUUAAGUGAAAAUCGAAUCGUUGGAGCAUUGAUUAUUAAAUUUGGCUCAACUUUUUGCUUUCUUCAAAUCAACUUCCAUGCCUACAAGUUGUCAAAGCCUCUUUGAAAAGUGAGAAGAGACUGAAUGUCAACAUUCUCAUUUUCAUUCUUACUUUAUUUUAACUGCUAUGUUUUUUGUUUCUUCAUUAUUUUAUUGUAUUUUUAUUUAUUUGUAACUCAUAAUAAGUCCAUUAUCUAUCUAACUGGGUCUAUUUAAUAGUAUUAGCUUUAAUUACAGUCUACUUUUGUGUCUCAGUUAGCUUCCUUUGCUUUGUAAAUCAACUUUUCUCUUUUUCCGCCUUCUCAUCUUUUACAUUCUCAUCAUUUUCACUACAACCAUCACCACCACAGCUACCAUCAUAAUUCUCAUAUUAUCACUAGUAUCAUCAUGGUUGACCUUUUAGUUGGUAGUGAAGUUAACAAUAAACGGAUUGCUCACAUUGAAAGCUGUUUUGGUCGAUCAGGAACGCCAUUAGCUUUAAAGGGUCGUGUUCUUGUGGGUGAAGGUGUUUUAACCAAAAUGUGUCGUAAAGGACCCAAACCGAGGCAAUUUUUCCUAUUCAAUGAUAUCAUCGUGUAUGGUAAAAUUUUGGUUCGAAAGAAAAUGUAUAUUAAACAGAAUAUAAUCCCAUUGGAAAAGGUGGUAUUAGAAGAUUUUUCGGAUGAUAUGAAUCAAGGUGACCUUAAACACGGCUGGCUAAUCAAAACACCAACCAGAUCUUUUGCUGUCUAUGCAGGUUCAGAGACAGAGAAAGAGGAAUGGAUUCAACAUAUACAAAAAUGUGUUAAAAGUCUUCUUAAAAGAACUGGCUCCAGACCUUCUGGUGAACAUGCUGCAGUUUGGGUUCCUGAUACGCAAGCUAAAGUCUGUAUGCAUUGCAAUUCAAUGCAAUUUACUUUGCUCAAUCGUCGGCACCAUUGCCGUAAUUGUGGUUCAGUUAUUUGUGCUUCCUGUUCUAAAAGUAGGUUCCUGAUUCCUUCACAGUCAACCAAACCAGUGAGGGUCUGUGAUACGUGCAAGAACAAAUUGAUCAAACAACGUUUAGGUGAAGUGACCAACGACAGCGAUCAAGAUAAUUCCUCAACUCUUGUUGUUAAAAAUCAACCUCGAGUUGCUAAUAACCGUAAUGAUAAAUCUGAAUCUACUUCUACCGCUAUAAGCUCGGUAAUCUCACCUGGAUCCAGCUCUGCUCAAAUGAAGGAUGAAACUCUCAAUGAUUCAAAGGAUCCUGAAUCUUCUUCUGAUACUGACGAAGAUAAUGAUGAAAUAAACCAAAAGUUGAACGAGCUUCUAGGACCAUAUGAAAUUGAAAAAAUUUUAGCAGAACUCACCUAAAGAGCCGACUGUUGAAGAGUCCAAUCUCAGUCUAAUAAGAUCAGCCCGCGAUUUAUUCAAUGACAAGAGUUCCAUUGCAAAUGAAAGGAAAUUAUAACUCAUUUUCAUUAGGCUCUUUAUUUGCCAAUUAUUUUAUCCGGUUUAAUUUAACAGAAGGAAGUUUCUCAAAGUCCUACAUUCUACAACGUUACACUCAAUUCGGAGGAAAUAAAAGAUGAUAAUUUGUACUCAAGCCCAUCAGAAGGAAAAAAAGAAGGAAGAGAAACAAAUAAUGUUAAUUCAAUUGAUCGUCUAACGAAGUCUUAUUCUCUGGAUUCCAGCAAAUCUAAAUGAAGUAGCGCGGAAACUACUUAAUCUGUAUUAACCAAAGUGUCUUAAUGAAACUAGAUUCGGAUCAACUCAUCCUAUUCUGUAUUCCAAACAAAAAUAUAAACAAAAAAGCUGUAAUUAAAAUGGAUGAUGAUUCGAGUAUUUUAAAAGGAAACUUGUCACAAAUAAAUGAAGUUGACAUGCAUUUAUACACAUUGUGAUUGUAACAAUAUACUUUCAUUAAUCAUUUUAUUGACUCUUGGUAAAAAUAAAAAGUGAAUUUAAAUUGAAAA